rnacentral:rRNA from 1 species
GACGUAGGGCGCGAGCGUUUGUCCGGAUUUAUUGGGCGUAAAGAGCUCGUAGGCGGCUUGUCGCGUCGACUGUGAAAUCCCGCGGCUCAACCGCGGGUCUGCAGUCGAUACGGGCAGGCUAGAGUUCGGUAGGGGAGACUGGAAUUCCUGGUGUAGCGGUGAAAUGCGCAGAUAUCAGGAGGAACACCGAUGGCGAAGGCAGGUCUCUGGGCCGAUACUGACGCUGAGGAGCGAAAGCGUGGGGGAGCGAACAGG